CGUUAGGCAUGCAAGUCGAACGGCAAGUCCGCAAGGACGAGUAAGUGGCGAAAGGGUGCGUAAUACUCGGGCAAUCUGCCUCUGGGACGAGGAUAGCCGCGGGGAAACUGCGGGCAAUACUGGAUAGGCUCACGAGGGCUGCGGCCCUUGGGAGUAAUCGGUGGGGAUCCGCAAGGACCUUCCGCCCAGAGAGGAGCUCGAGGCCUAUCAGGUAGUUGGCGGGGUAACGGCCCACCAAGCCUACGACGGGUACCCGGACUGAGAGGUCGGCCGGGCACACUGGCACUGAGACACUGGCCAGACUCCUACGGGAGGCUGCAGUCGAGAAUCUUCCGCAAUGGGGGCAACCCUGACGGAGCGACGCCGCGUGGAGGAAGAAGGCCUUCGGGUUGUAAACUCCUGUCACGACUUACGAAAAUGCAGCGUGUAACAUCGCUGCACUGACAAAGGGUCGGAAGGAAGCCACAGCUAACUUCGUGCCAGCAGCUGCGGUAAUACGAAGGUGGCAAGCGUUGUUCGGAUUCACUGGGC
rnacentral:rRNA from 1 species